GCGGAAGAGAAAGUGUCCCUCAGAAGGUAUUGUCCGCUUUGGGUCCGAUUCGGGGGUCGAGCGUACCCGGAGCCCUCCUCACGGCGCCUCACGGUUUUGCCCCACAAAAGGCGCCUCCUAAGGGAAGGGUUAUUGAGCCCCCCAUUAUAUGGCACAGACCUUCCCGCUACACGGUCGAUGUGGGACUAAAUUCGGGGAACCCCCCGUAA
rnacentral:lncRNA from 1 species